AUGAACGCUGGCGGCGUGCCUAAUACAUGCAAGUCGAGCGAACGGACGAGAAGCUUGCUUCUCUGAUGUUAGCGGCGGACGGGUGAGUAACACGUGGAUAACCUACCUAUAAGACUGGGAUAACUUCGGGAAACCGGAGCUAAUACCGGAUGAUAUUUUGAACCGCAUGGUUCAAAAGUGAAAGACGGUCUUGCUGUCACUUAUAGAUGGAUCCGCGCUGCAUUAGCUAGUUGGUAAGGUAACGGCUUACCAAGGCAACGAUGCAUAGCCGACCUGAGAGGGUGAUCGGCCACACUGGAACUGAGACACGGUCCAGACUCCUACGGGAGGCAGCAGUAGGGAAUCUUCCGCAGUGGGCGAAAGCCUGACGGAGCAACGCCGCGUGAGUGAUGAAGGUCUUCGGAUCGUAAAACUCUGUUAUUAGGGAAGAACAUAUGUGUAAGUAACUGUGCACAUCUUGACGGUACCUAAUCAGAAAGCCACGGCUAACUACGUG
rnacentral:rRNA from 1 species